CUUUUAGUAGUUCAGCUGGUAGAGCGGGGGACUGCAGUGUUGUUGGUGACUGUCACUCUUAGGUUGCUGGUUUGAUUCCAGCUGGAAAGA
rnacentral:tRNA from 1 species